CCCUGGGGGGCAUCUGGAUGGCUGAUUUGGAAGAGCAUAUGACUCUUGAUCUCCGGGUUGUGAGUUUGAGUCCCACGUUGGGGAUAGAGAUUACUUAAAAAUAACUAAAUAAAGAAAAUUAAAACAAAACAAAACUUAACAUCCCUGGGAUCUAUAUUUCUUGCUCUGACAUCUUCAAUCACUUCACUAUCAUUAGAGUAUUUUUAUUAAAAUUUCCCAAUUUGUACUAAUAAUGAGACCUUUUAAGUGUUCUUCAAUAAGUCAAUCUCAGAACUUGUUUUUAAUAUUUUUUAAGUACUGGAGAAAAGAAACUUGUCUCUGGAGGUAGAAGACAAAAUUAUAAUCCAUCACUAACCCAAAUAAAUGAAGUAUGAGGUAUGUGACAUAAAAAAAAAUUAUAACCAUUUUUUGUUUGUGUUUUUCUGUGUUCUCCCUGUUUGCUACACUAAUUUCUGUCAUUUUCAGUCGUUUUAAUAAUGCUCUGAGGAAGAAAAUAUGUUAAUAGUAUUUGGCUAGAUAAAAUAAGAGUCACACGUUUUAUUUUUGUUUUGUGACAUUUGUGGCUCUUCAGCAUGACAUUGGCAUUCUUCCUCUUCUGAUGCAACUUCCUUCUCUGUUUCAUUCUGUUUUGGUUGAGGUUAUUUCAACCUCCUCCCCGCCCCCGCCCCCCCCCCCACCACCUCUCUGAGCCGUCUUUCGGCUUGUCCAUGAGAUCCUAAGCUGUCACUUGAUUUUCUGAAUAUCCACUUCUGUUUUCUGUGGCAACACCUGCAGAUCAGCAUCUAGCCCGCCACCCAGAUGGGCACCCCUCCCCCCACUCUGAAAUGCACGCACCCGCGGACCCAGUUAACCUUGGAAAUGAAGAGACCAGUGUAAUGGUGUGAGGAUGACCCUCCAUAUGUGAAAAUAACUCAACAAAAAACGGGGUGCUGCUCAUCAUCUUCCCCAUCACUGGGAUUUCUUCAGGUGUCAAAUAGGAGCAUGGAGUUGGUGGAGAAAGUCAGUGUUUCCAGAAGAAACCGUGCCACUCCACAGGGAAAUUAGAAAAGGAGAAAGUGACUCCUGAAUAAAGGAGAGUUUAUUCAUUUAAAGACCCCUCUCCCAGGGAUUCUUGGCAGGAAGAGUUCGCUUUCCUGCUGCGCCAGUGAUUGAGCUGCAAGCAAAGAAUGGAAAUUUCCAGUUGCAGCAUCAAGGACUGCUGUUCUGCUGACUGUCUUGCUCAGCCAGGGUCAUCUGCUUCUCUAAGACAUCAAGGAAUGCCAAGAGAGAGAGACAACGAGAGAGGGAACACAAGCAGGGGGAGUGGGAGAAGGAGAAGCAGGCCUCCCGCCGAGCAGGACGCCCGAUGCGGGGCUCGAUCCCAGGACCCUGGGAUCAUGACCUGAGCCGAAGGCAGACGCUUAACGACUGAGCCACCCAGGCGCCCCAUGGUAGCAGUUUUAAACCACUACAUGUUAAAGUGGUUUGUGAUGAAGCAAUAGAUAAAUGAAGCCAGUUCACGUCCUCAAUGAGAAGACAAGAAGGGGCUGACCACAGCACGGUACUGCGUGGAGACUAACAGCAUUUGCAUGAAGGCAAGUACUAUACCGAACAACGUAAAA